rnacentral:rRNA from 1 species
CGGGAAAACUGGGGAUAAUACCCUAUAGGUUACAGAUGCUGGAAUGCCCUGUAACCAAAAGCUCCGGCGCCCUAGGAUGGAUCUGCGGCCGAUUAGGUUGUUGUUGGGGUAACGGCCCAACAAGCCCGUAAUCGGUACGGGUUGUGGGAGCAAGAGCCCGGAGUUGGAUUCUGAGACACGAAUCCAGGCCCUACGGGGCGCAGCAGGCGCGAAACCUUUACAAUGCGGGCAACCGUGAUAAGGGAACCUCGAGUGCCUGUAAACGCAGGCUGUUCAGGUGUUUAAAACGCACCUGGAGAAAGGGCCGGGCAAGACCGGUGCCAGCCGCCGCAGUAAUACCGGCGGCUCGAGUGGUGGCCGCUUUUAUUGGGCUUAAAGCGUUCGUAGCUGGGUUGUUAAGUCUCUUGGGAAAUCUGGCGGCUUAACCGUCAGGUGUCUAAGGGAUACUGGCAAUCUUGGAACCGGGAGAGGUGAGGGGUACUUCGGGGGUAGGGGUGAAAUCCUGUAAUCCUCGAGGGACCACCUGUGGCGAAGGCGCCUCACCAGAACGGCUUCGACAGUGAGGGACGAAAGCUG